rnacentral:rRNA from 1 species
GAUGAACGCUAGCGGCAGGCUUAACACAUGCAAGUCGAGGGGCAGCGCGGGUGUAGCAAUACAUCUGGCGGCGACCGGCGCAAGGGUGCGUAACGCGUGAGCGACAUGCCCGUGACCGGGGGAUAACCGAUGGAAACGUCGCCUAACCCCCCAUAUGAUCAUCCAUCGCAUGGUGGUUGAUUGAAAACCGUGGUGGUCACGGAUUGGCUCGCGUCCCAUUAGCUAGUCGGCGGGGUAACGGCCCACCAAGCCCUCGAUCAGUAGGGGUUCUGAGAGGAAGGUCCCCCACAUUGGAACUGAGACACGGUCCAGACUCC